UUAAAUAUUAUAUAAUACUCAGACAGCAAUAUAAAGGAAUUAAAGGGUCCUCUGGCAAGCACUAACCAGCCAAGGCCAGUAGUUGUAAAACAGGCCUGCCAAAGCAACAAAGGUAUUUGUAGACAAAGGGUGGGAGAUAUGCCCUAAAGGGUAUGUUCUCUGUAAUGAUCCUUCCGCAGGUUCACCUACGGAAA
rnacentral:misc_RNA from 1 species